ACAACCUUUGGUGAACGCAAUUAGUGGUUGCGCACCUAACGAAAGGACUGCUAGACCACACCCUACCAAACAUACAUAGUGGUGCCUUAAGCCAAACAAGCCAAAUUCUAAGAGGGAAAUGAUGGGAAGAGAGAGAAUACAGCUCCUCUAUGCCCCUGUGAUUAUAAGAGUAGCUGCUUAGAGGGACCAUCAGAAUCUGUAUAAUCUUUGGGUGAAUGCAUCGCAAGCAAGAUAAAAGCUGCAUGUGGAUGUAGAGGGCAAGAGAGGAUAUAUGAUAAAGGGACUUAGGAGAACGAAGUCUCAAUCAGACCAACUUAGAGGGCUUCCAAAUAUUCAGCAUUUAGCACAACAUUAUUCACCUAACAGCAUUUGAGAAAAGACGAAAGAAAAGGACAAUAACCAGCUAGACGGUAGAGAGACCUUAUGUGUGAGACGUGAGUGUUGAAACGAGAAAGUGAGAAAAGGUAAAUCUUAUGAUCAAAACGUUUUGAGGUAGCAAUAAUUAAGAGGGUUCCUCAUAUUCAGCCUUACGCCCAAGGUCAUUCACCUAAGAAACUAAAUAUCAAUCCUACCAGCCCUGCAUAAUACAUAUACAAAUAAACCAUGUGAGGAAACAGCAAUAAGGGAAACAUUCCCUGCAAUUUAUCUCUCACCCCAAUUGAAUAAAUCAAGCUCUACCCUUUUUCUACAAGUCAUAUCUCACGUUCCAUUUGCCAUUAACGUCAACGUUGAGCGUCCAAUUAUUUUCCUUAAUCUGCACGUAUGGAACCU